GCGUGGUAAGGGACCGAUUAGCAGAGGCUGACAAAUAUGAAGAGGAGGAGGAAGAAGCCCUGGAGAAGAUCGUUGAAUUCUUCCAGUCAAAGUACAUGAAGAAAAACUCCAUAAUCACAUUUUAUUUUCCAUCAACUUCACCUACAGCAGAGGUAAGAACUUAGAGGCCAUUGGACCACUAGCUUGCUAUCUGUCGACUGUUGCAUGAUAAAUGACAUUGAUUUCUGGCUACGAUAACGUCUUUCCAUCGCAGAUUGGAUUUGCCACGGAAGGGAAAGAAGAGUCGAAAAUCAAGGUGGAGAACGCAAAUGUUGUGGAGAUGAUCAAGAAAUGGUACAUGGGUGGAAGCAGAGGGGUUUCAGCUACAACCAUAUCCUCCCUUGCUAACGCCAUUUCGACAGAGCUGGCUAAAUGAAAAUGGGCCUGCGAUCAUGGGCGUUGCUGUUUAUCUAUGUUUGUGCUUUCUUAUGUUUGAAUCUUUUGUCAAAUAUGCUAAGGAGUGAGGCUGCUUGCUCUACCCGUUUUGGGCCAAUAAAAAUUUGAGUAUCACUUUGAGCCUUUUAUAAAUCCUCGCCUAUGAGCUCCACUAACGGGCUAUAAAACAAUAGACGCACCGAAGCAUCAUGUUGUCGGAAUGUUUUUGUUCAUUCGUAAGUGAGAUUGUUUAUGGCUAAGGAUCCAAAUCCAAUGUGUGUUGUGUGUGUGUGUGUCUAUAUAUGUAUAUAUAUAUAAACUAAAAAGGAUUUGACAUGUGUUUUUUUUAGUGUGGUUGCAAUAAUAUUUUUUAUUAUUUUUUAAAAAUUAAUUUUGAAAUUAACAUAUUAAAACAAUUCAAAACAUAUAUAAAAAUUAAAUUUUAACUAAAAAAUUUAAAAUUUUCAAAAAACACAGUUUACAGCUUUCCCAAACAGUCAGCGUAAUAUCUUUACCCUCCAAUCUAAAAAAAAAAUGGGUCUCUAUUCAAGGGUAAAAUGGGUUUUUUCACAAGACUUAACACAAUUCACCAGGGUUAUAAUAGGAUCUCGAUUUUUUUUCAACACAGUUAAAUGACAUCAUUGCCUAUAUAUAUAUAUAUAUAUAUAUAUAUAUAUAUAUAUAUAAACGAAAUAGGUUAGAAGGGGUUUCUACAUCAUUUCCCUUUUAAAAUAGUCAAAUGACUUCAAAAUUAAAACAGGAUUCCAAGAGUAUUUUGAUAUUUUUAUAAUAGUUAUUUCAUUAUAAUUUAUUUUAAAAAAAGAAAAACUAAUCUUUUUUUAAGAAAAAAAAAGUUGUUGCAAGCGCCGAUAAGUUGAUGCUGCUCAUGCUUUUUGAAAGACACAUGCAAUGUCGUACAAUGGUAAAAAAGUUUAAUUAUUGUGUAGUCUGAAGAAUCUAAUAGUGGCGCAGCUAAUGAGAUGACACAUGUAAUGAAAUUCAUGAAGAUUCAACGAUACUGAGGUUUUUCUCCUCUCCAUUUUUUCUCUCACCUCACCAUGAAAUCCAUGAUGGCUAGCCAAAAAUCAAAGUUGUCAUCUCAUUUAUUUUUUCUUUCAAUUGUGGUUCUCAUUAUUUUUAUUGGUCUAUAUUUGUUUUUAAUUUAUUUUGAUUGGUUUUUUUUUUAAUUUUAUUCCUCACUAAUUAGUUUUAUUUUAUUUUUAUAUCAAAUAUGAUCCUGAAUAUUUUAAAUGCUAUUUUUUUUAUCCUUUCAAUUUUGUCCCUCAAUAUUUUAUUUCAUUCAAUUUUUUAUUCAAUUUUAGUCCUCAUUCCUUGUAUUGUUAUUUUUUAAUAUUUUCUUAAUUUAUUUUGUAAUUUAGUCUCUCCUUAUUUUCUUUCAAUUUAAGUUAUUGGCUCUUGAGAAUUUUGAUUUUUUUGCUUUUUUUUCUAUGGGGUCAUCACGGGUCGUAGGUUAGGUAAAUUAACUCGGGUUGACUUGGAUUUAUUUAUUUAUUUAUUCAACUUUGGCUUUUUUUUUUCAGGUCCUUUAUAAAAAUUAUAAUAUUUUUAUCUUAUUCUCAUAUCAAAGCUAGCAAAUUAGUAGAGUGACCUCGAGUUGACUUGAGCUUUUUUCUUUGAUAUAUAUUUUUUUUUUUAGCCUUUAACAUUAGGUUAUUAGACCUUAAACUUUGUGAUUUUUUUGAUUUUCCUUUGUGCGAGGGCAUCUCAAUCUCAUAUCCUAGGUUGCAUCUCAGACAAGUUAACCAGUGUUGAUUAUGGUUUUUGUUAUGUCUCUAUUUAUUUAUUUAACUUUGAUUCUUUUUUUUGGGUUUGUUUUUUUUUUUUUUGGUUUUAAAAUAACUUUUUAUCCUGGCAUGUUAGUAGAGUGAACCUAGGUGUAUGCUAGUUUUUUUCUUUGAUUUUUUUAAUUCCAACAUUUAAUAUUAGAUUAUUAAACCUUAAGUUUUGUGAUUUUUCUUUUUUUUUAUGUGAGAGUAUCCUGACCUUAUAUCCAGAGUCAUGUGUUAGUCAAAUUAACCUGCGUUACUCAAAUUAUAAUCUUUUAGUUAUUUUUGGAAAAAAUUAACCUAACGUGUAACAGAUUGCGUGGAAAAAAAAAUCUAGUUUUGAUACAUAAAAUCACAAGAUUCUGCAGCCAAUUUCGUUGUUGAAACAGAAGGCAAGAGCAACAUUUGUAAUUAAUUGUUUUUUAUUUGUUUUUGUUUGAUCUGGCUGUGAAAACAACAAUUAACAAUCAAGUAUACGUGAAUUCAUACGUAAAUUUAGUGGAUACCUUAAAGUCUAUCUCAAGGGACAGACAGUGAUUACAGGUUCCUCGCAUUUUGUCUCUUCAUCACUUGGCUUGUGAUGUUAGUCUUCAAAAUUCUGAUUCUUGAUGGCUUUAUUACAACGACUUAUGCCCACCAAAUUGCAGAUGACGGCGGUCAAAUAUUUGUGCCUGAAGCAUGUGUUGGAAUAUAAUCGAAGCUGUAUUUUUUAAAAGAAUUAAAUUUUUUUAUUCGAAAUUUUUUUUAAUAUUCUCUGAUUAUCUUAAUGUUAAAAAUAAUUUUUAAAAAAUAAAAAAAUAAUUUUAAUUUAUUUUUAAAUAAAAAAUACUUUAAUCCAUAAUAUUUUAUCGAUUAUGUGGACAUAUUAGUAUUGGUACGUAUGUGGUGUCUCUAUGUAACAUAGUACUAAUGGCGGAAGUACUAUGUUAGAGGACUUGUUGUUGACAAGGUCUACAGAACAUGAUUUUAAUUUUUUUCCGGCUAAUAAAAAACAAGAAUUCUUCAUUUGUAAUCCUUCAAAUCGAGAAAAAAACACCUUCAGGAUGGAUAUGGAUGAAUUAAGAUGCAAAAGGAGUGGUCCAAGGAUGAAAUGAUGCUCAUUAGGCACUUGGAUAAUAUCAUCCAGCAAUAGUGCAUGAAUGAAAUUCAUGAUUGUGGAAACAUGGUAGACCCACCAAAGUUGAAAAAAUUAAAAGGGGGAGAGAGAAGAUAUGAAACGAGUUUGAAAUCCCAUUCCUUUAGCACAAAAUCAUGAUUCCUUCUCUUCCAUAAAUAUAUUCAAAUGGCCAUCAAAUCAAAUCAAAAUAUAGUUGGGAUAGGUUUUCUUAAGUAUUUUUUAUUUAAAAAUAUAUUAAAAUAAUAUUUAUUUAUUAUUUUUAAAAAAUUAUUUUUGAUAUUAGUAUAUUAAAAUGAUCUAAAAAUACAAAAAAAUAUUAAUUUAAAGACAAAACAACUUACAAAGUUUUUUGAAUAUAUAUAUAUAUAUAUAUAUAUAUAUAUAUAUAUAUAGUGCUAGCUUGGAAAACUAUUCAUGGCUUUCUGUUUUUUUUUUUUUUUUUCUAUGGGCAACCAUGCUCACGUGUUAAAGAAAGGGAAAUAGUCAUACGGAGAGCAAAGGGCUUAAGGAAAGUGGAGGCCAGAAUAGUAUCCAGCGAUGACUUUCUAGAUAACAGCGAAGACAUUAAGUUUUUUUUAAUUAAUAUAUUUUUUAUAUUUUUAAAUUAUUUUAAUAUAUUAAUUUUAAAAAAAAAAUAAAAAAUAUAUUAUUUACAUAUUUUUUUAAUAAAAAAUAUUUUAAAAAUCAAUUAUAAUCACACUUCAAAUAUUUUUUAAUAUUUAAAAAUCAUUUAAAAAUUUUUGUUUUAAAAAACUUUUGACUUGUAACUUGGUCUCUUCAAUUUUUUGCACACAGAAAUUAUUCCGGUGCUUAAGUAGUCCGUCCGGUGAGUACGAUUUGAACUAUAGAGACACUGGUAUUAUAAAUGAUUUUGUUUUAUUAUUAUGAAGACUUUUAAUAAGAAACUGAAAAGAAAAUGGGUAUAUUUAAUAUAAUAAAUUAUAAAAAUAUAUAAAAUAAAAAAUCAUAAAAAUAAUUGUUAACAUUAAUAAAUACUAAAAUAAAAAAAAUAUUAAUAUUGUUUUGUAAUUUUUGUAAGAAGAAAAAUAUACAUGCACAUAAAAUAUUUGACGUUGUUUAAUGGAGAGUUUUUUGGUUUUUGUUUUAUAUAAAUAUAUAAAAAUAAAAAAAGAUAUUCAUAAGAAAGGCCAUGGUUUAAAUUUUAAGAAAAAAAAUAUUUUUUAGUUUAAAUUCUCUUUUCUUAUUCAUGUAUUUUUUUUAUAUAAAAAAACAUAUCUUUUAUAUUUAGUAGUAUGGCUUAUUGAAUAAAAACUAGAAAAAUUAAAAUAAAUAUUUAAGAAAAUUAUGAUGAUUUAAAUUAAGGAGGAAAAAAAUGUUCCUCUUUAAUCAAAACUUCUUUUUCUUAUUAAUGGUUUUUGUUUUAUAAAAACAUAUCUUUUUUAUUAGAAACAUUGUGUUACAAAUAAAACUUUCAUAAUUUAAAAAGUAAUUUUUAAUAAAAAAAAAUCAUGAAUCCAUGAAUUUUAUCCGGUGUAUAAAAAAUAUAAGAAUUGUAAAUUUCAAAAAAAGAUAUAAAAAAUUCACAAUAAAAAAUAAUAAAAUAAGUAAUUUAUUCAUAUUGAAUAUUCAUGAUUAAAAUUUUUUUUGCAUAUUAGAAUCACAUAUAAUUAUUUAAAAAGUAAUUAUUAAUAUUACUAUAAAAAAACUAUAAUAUUAUUUGAAGAUUAUUAAUAUUACUAUAAAAAAACUAUAAUAUUAUGGAAUAAUUGAGUAAUUAUUUAAAUAUUAUAUUAAUAAGUAUAUUUAAAUAUAAUUUAUUGCAAAAAGAUAUCAAAUAAAACAAAUUAAGACAUGUUGUCUCUCUUUUUUAUAUUUUUUAAUGGAACAGAUAAAAUGUUGUUUGUCUGUAAUAUUUCUUUGGCAUUAGAGGUACGUGGCUUUGAUUACCGGAAUAUUAGGGUCUGUAUUUUUGUACUCCAAUAACCAAAAUUCAAACCUUUUUUUAACCAAAAAAUAUGAAGAAAAUAUUAUAUUGAUCUCUAAAACUCUAUUAUUAACCACAAAACAUAUUUUAUUGGGACAAAAAACUUAAAAUUAAAUAAAAUCAAAUCUUAAAAAUUAUAAAACCUUAAUUUAUUUUUCUUUUUAAAUCAUUAAAAAUAGAAACAAACUCUGUUGAGUUUAUUUUUUAAAGACGGAUCAUAGACAUCAAAAUUGUUGUUAUUAGUGGCUAGAAUUUGGUCAAUCAAGAGCUUUCUUUUUUUCUAUUUGUUUGAUGAAUUUUGUUUUCUUUUCAUAAUAAUCAGAGAUUAAAAUGUAAAAUAAAUAAAUUUUCUUAACUAAAAUGUAUAAGUUUUAAAAAAUAAAGAUCAAAUAUGAAAAAUAUAAAACUUGAAGGAUCAAAUUGAACCUUUUCAUGUCUUUUUGAAAAUUGUAAAGGUAAAAAGGCUAUUUUUUAUGCUAAACUUGGUCCUUGAUCUUUCAAUCUUUUUAGUAAUUACCUAAUUUUUUUUUUUAAAAAAUUUCAUCUUUAAUUUAAUGUCAAAAUAUUAUAUAACAUAUGGAGUGCCCGAGAACAUGCAAAUUAAAAUAGAUCACAACACAUAAAAUUAUAUUAAUAUAAUCUUAAAGGAUGGAAUUAAAAUAAAAUAAAGUUCAAUAACCAAAAUGUAAAAAAAUUCAAGGACCUAAAAGAAAAAUAUUAGCUAUGAACAACGGUGCGAAGUGCGAACAACUUAAUGCUAGGGGAUGAACAAUAGAUGCACAGUAAAAAUCCCAUGUCAUUUAGUUAGAUUGUGUAAUAAAGAACUAGAAACUUACUAGUAGAGAAUCGUGUGGGGAAUUACUAGUUCAAUAGCUAUUAAAUUUGUGUUUAGAUGCUUUUGCCAUCUUAUUCUCUUCUGCUUUCAGGUUUGACAAAAGUAAUAUGGUUUAAAUUCUAUUUCAAAUUGUUUUUUUUUUUGUUUGUCUUAAUUUGUUAUUUUUAAAUGUUUUUUUUAAUGAUUUUGAUAUUUUUAAAUAAAAAAGAUUUAAAAAUAUCAAUUUGAUGUUUUUUUAAGGAAAAAUAACUUUUAAAAACACUAAUGCUAAAGGGUACCUAAAACAAAUAUUACCUCAAAUUUUAUAUGUUGAAAAGUAUACAAUGAAAUUGACUCUUGAGUUUGUAAUGGUUUGAUGCAGCAUAUAUCAAAAUAAAAGAAACUAAAAGUUCACAAAUCCUAAAAUUAUUGCUAAAUUAUAAAGAAAAUUCAAAUUUAAUAAACUUUGUAUGUCAAUAAUUCAAGAUCAAGUACAUACUAAGACAUUGUAAAUACAUAAAUUUAAAUUAUGUUUUACAUGUUAUAUUAUAUUUAGCACUAUUGUAUAUGAAAUUUUCUUAAACACCAUUGCACUACUUUAACUUGUCAGCAUAAAUAAUCCAAAUUAGAUUGCCAAGUGUUUGAUUCGGCUACUCCAUCUUCUCAUCUGUUAAUGGAUGUAGAACUUAAUUCAUUUAUUGUGUGAAUGUGCUCAGCAUAUUAAACAACCAAAAAGACAUAACUAUCCAUUUGUAUUAAACUCCAUUGUCUUAAAAGUUAUAUUCCACUUAUCCUCAUGUGAAGUCCAAAUUUAAAGGUAUAAACUCAAUAAAUCAAUUUUCAUAAAGAUAAUUUCUCCUUAUAAUUAAUCUGUAAUAUAAUUUAUAAUAAAUUAAAAAUUUGUAAUUGAUCUAGAUCUUUUAAAGUAAUGGUGAUAGCAAAAUUAAAGUUGAUCAAGACAUAUUAUUAGUACUCAAACUAUUUAUCUAUUUUUCUUAAAGGACUUCAUCAUGUGUUGUUUUUGGUUAGCUAUCAUUUAUUUUUAUCAUCUCCAGUCCUUCUUCUGUGUUCUGUCUUUUUAGAUUGUUCUAUUUCAAUCUUAAUCUUUUUAGUAGCCAACUUAACCUGGUGUUUGAUGACGUAAAGGUGUAACUCAACUACUUUUCAUGGAGCCUUUCCAUUACAGCUUAUGUAUUUAUAAACUUGGUAUUUUGCCUUUUUGACUCCUUACUAUGAAUAGUGUUUUUAGUAGUUUGGUAGUUGUUACUUUUCAAAUAACUUUUCGUGCCGAAAUGCAUGUCAAUGAAUUUUUUUUUAUUUUAAAAAAAUUAUUUUUGACAUCAGCACAUCAAAACGAUCCAAAACAUACAAAUCAUAUUAAAUUUUAAUAAAAAAAUAAUAAUUUAAUUUUAUGGAAACACUAUUUUAACCGCGUUCACAAACAGUUUCUAUGUCUUCCAAUUCCACGUGGACUCUCAAUUUAGUCUCAUUCCAAUUCUUAAACUUAUUUUUAUAAUUCUUUUUUUCUUUUCAACUUCUACGUGCAUCCUUUGCAGGUACCACCUUUUAUCUUAUGUGUCAUUGGGCAUUUCUUUUUUACUCAGCUUCCUCUUCAACUAUUUUCCUAGCUUGUUCUUAACCUUUAAUUCCUUUUCAGCUUGUUCUCUUAUAGCUGCUACUUUUUGAAAGCCUUUGUUGCCUUAUUCAAGCUCCAAUUCAGCUUGUAGCUGCUUUAUCUUCUCCAUCGGCUCUUCAUCACUUUUAUUCUCUUUCUCUAGAACCAAUGAGUCGCUGACUGACCUAUUGUUUCUCCAUUCCAAGUAUUGGUCACUAACUUUGAGGGUUUUUCUACCUUUUUCUUGUCUUAUAAGGAAUUGUGUCUUCUAAUCCUACCUAAAUCUUUCUAUUAUUACUAGAGAGGUAGUUUCCUUAAGAUUUCUAGAGAAUUGAGUAAGUUCAAAAGUCAUCAGGACAUAUUAUAAGUACUCAAAUUAUCUUGACAUCAAAAUUAGGAUAUAUCUUAUAUAUCUUAUUGCUCCAAUUAAAAGUACCUAUGGAUUUUACCUAUAGCAAACAAAGUAGGCCUUCAUACCCGUCUAAACGGUCCUCCAAUUAAACUUGUUUUGUGGUAAAUCUUAGAAUUUCUUGACCCAAUUUAACUUAGUAUAUUAUGUGCCACUUAAUUGCUUUAAACUCUUUGAUUGAUUUUUGAUCAUGCCACCAAAAUGACCUAAACACCAAAGUCUUAGCUUCUACGUGGCUCAUCAUCCAAAUAUAACUUGUUGUAGUCUUUCUAUAGUAAUUCAAAGAUAAAUAGUUUUAGUUAGAAUUAUGGUUGAUGAUGUCCCUUUCAAACUUAAAAAAACAAGUUCAUAGCUUUUAAACUUAUUUUUCAAAAGUAAAAUUUUAGCCUAAUUUAAUAGUCAAAUUAAAAAAAAAAAAAAAAACUUGUAUAACCAUUGUGUAGUUCUUCUUAAACCUAGACCCAUAUAUCUACUUUACAAACAUAAUUGCUAUCAUAGAACAAAUUAGCUCUAAAUUGUUAUGCAUUCAGAACGAACUAUAACCAAUGUGAUUAACAUUUAAACAUCACAAGGAACGAAUUUAAUUUAUACUCCUGUAGAAAGGUAUGUAUUCACCGUGGAUGCUAAAAGCAAGUCAUUUGCCUUAAAAACUACACGUUUCUUGACUGAGUACUGCUCCCUCUAAUUUGUUCAGAUGAACUAGAUGUUCUUUUCCACGUCCAAUCUUAUAUUCCAAGAAAUCAAUUUGUGUUGAUGCAUAAAUCAAUCAAUCCCCAUCUAGAUUAUCUAGUGGCUAGGAAAUACCCACCUGAGCUCUGAACUUUUUGGAGGAGCUGCAAGCAGCAUGCUCAACAGAGACACUUCGGAGAGAAAUUUGUUAAAUUGGAUUGCAAAAAGUAUGGUGCAUUUACUAUUACAAGGCCUUUCAACGCAUAGCUAGUCGCAAACCUCCUAGGAUCAUUUUCUUAUCUGCUAAUAAAGCCUGUACAAAAAAAGUAUUGCCUCAGAAACCUCCACGUAGCUCAUUCCUUGAAGUUUCAGACAAGAUAUCUACAUCACUAAGCAUAAUUACACAAACAAACUGAACAUCUCAAAAAUUAAACAAUAGAGAAACUGAGACCCUUUUUUUGCUUGUUCUUGAUUUGGCGUUGAAUCACUUUCAAAGCAGGAUCAACCAGCUUCGUGAUCUCCAGCAACAGGAACAUCAUGUCCCGGAUGUCUAAUCCCAACUUCAAUUUCUGUGGCAUCAGAACUUGCCGGUUGCUCAAGUAGUGACUGCCGGCAAGUUGGACAGGAGGAGUGUGAUACCAACCAUGUGUCUAUGCACCUAACAUGAAAUCCAUGGUUACAUUUGGGCAAAACUCGUACUUUCUCACCACCUAUGAACUCACCAAGGCAAAUUGCACAAUCUGUAGCGAUUAAAUGUAUCCCUGCCACCCCGUAUAUAAUCACCGGGAUUCGUCGCAAUGCGCUCUUUUUGAGGCCUGUUGCUGCCAUAUGUGCUGCAGUCUGAUCAGGAGUCUCAAAAGUAAACCUCCUGCUACAGCGUAUGGCGCACCGUACUAUAGAAUUUAGUCCAAGUGCACAAAUUAAUGCACAAAGCAAAGCUGCCAAGAUGAUCACCAUGUUGGUAUCAAAAUUGGCCUCACUGUUGUAUAUGUUGCGUGUCCUGCUUCCAUUUGCUGCAGAUUGUGUGCUUGAUUCUGUCUCCAGGAGUAGCCGGUGUGGACGAUGAUGUAGAGCAAACAUAGCUAUUAUCAUGACUCAAUCCAACAACACUUCAGAAGUACACCAAUACCCUCUUAGCCGAACUGAAAUUUCUUUAGACCUUCUAUGAGUUUAUUAUGCAAAUAGACUGGAGAUUUCAUGGCUCCAGUGCUUCCUAGCAUCAAAUCGAACCACGAAGGAGACUGAAAGUAGGGAGUUCAUUUCACUCGUAUAUAAAGCAAGGCCUUCAAUUGUGUUUGGUCCUGGAUUUCUUCGCACAGAGGAAUUUAAAGGCUAGUUCAUAUGGCUUCUGAUGCUUCAAGAGCAGGAGGUGAAAGCUAAACAAUAAAUUAUGGGGUUUGCGGUUUCUUUUUUUGGUUCUUGUUGAUCUGCUUUCAACCAAAAAGAGAGAGAUGAGCCUUCUGAGUUAUGGCAAUGUCUGUCAAGAUUCCAACGAGAUAAAAGACAUCACAAAAAGCAUCUUCUUGAUAAUUUAAACAAGAAAAUCAGGGGAGUUGAAUAGCUUUCUUGAGCCCUAUUUCACCAAUAUAAAGCUAAUCUUCUGGCUUCCAAAGUCACAAAUCCUCCUGUAAGUUAAUCCAAGGAUGACAACAUGGAUAAAGAGAACUAUGAUCAUGGCUUACCUUAACUUGGGCAGAUAAUACUCUGCAGCAGCAGCAGCAGCAGGAAAGAUGAGAUUUUUCCUGCUUCUAAUUAACUGUGAGAGAAUUGAUUUGUUUGGUGAUACAAAGAGAUCAGGGCUGGUUUAAUAUUUUGUGAGGAUUAUUAUACGGAAGCUAUUAAAGCGCUUGGGAGCCCACUAUUCGGAUGUGACCAUGGAAACUGGACUACAGGUGGGAGAGAAGAUACCUACUGGAAGAAAGAUAUUAGUGUUAGGUUUCUUUUCACUUCAUUAUUACUGAGAGAAUGACACACAGAAGGCUAAAUUAUAGAAUCAUGGGGAGGAAGAAAAAGAAAGCAGAUUUUUAAGGGCAAAAAAAAAAAAAAAAAAAAGAAGAAAAAACAAGGGUACCUGAUCCCACAUAAGCACAAUUAGUUGCUUAAGAUUAUGCUUAUUCUCGAGCACCAAAUCUUUCACCCACUCAUCCACUCUACCUUUAAUUAAAAGGGGAAGUAAAUUCCAUGGCUCAUUUGUCAUAGCCAAUGCCUCUCCUUGGAUCCCUAUAUUUUUAGAUGAUGACAACACCUUGGAACAGCUUCCGAAAACAUAUAAAUAUUAUUAUAUUAUAAAUAUACUAAAAUCCUAAAACAUUUUAUAAACCUCAAAAAUAAAUAAAAAAUUAAAUUUUUUUUAUAUAUAGUUUUCAACCUUUCUUUCAAUUUUAUUUUCUAACAUUAAAUUUACUAGCUAAUUGACUUUAUAAUUUAUUUCGAUUUACUUUAUAUAGAAUUAUCACAGUCUUAUAACCCGGGUCACGAGUUUUAUGGGUUAACCAUGUUGACUUGUCUUUAUUCCUGUUUUUUUUAAAAAAUUCAAAUUCAUCUUUUAACAUCAGGUUAAUUGAAAAUUAAACUUCAUGAUCAUGAUUAUUUCUUGAUUUGUUUUUUAUGAGAUUAUUAUGGUCUCGAGAUAUAGGUUACAAAUUUUGCGAGUUAGCCAGGUUGGUUCGGUUCUUUUUCCUUUUCUUAAAUGAAUUCUGUUUUAAAUUCAUCCAUCAAUAUUGGGUUGUUUGGGAAUUGAAUUUUAGAUUUUUUUAUUUGCUUUUUAUGGAGUUAUCUUAGUCUUCUUACUUAGGUUUGAUAGGUUGACUCGGGUUGACUCGGGUCAAUGUUUUGCCAUUUUUUAUUUGAUUUUAUCUUUUAAUAUUAGGUCGAUUGAGAAUUGGGUUGAAUAAUAUUUUUUAUUUACUUUCUAUAGAGUUAUCAAGGUCUCAUGAUUCGUGUAGUAGAUUUGUCAGGUUAACUUGAGUUGAUUUAAGUUGAUCUAGCAUGUUGUUUCAAUACUUAAAUAAAAAUAUCAUCUUGAUUUUUUUUCCAAUGAAACUACAUUUUUCUCGAUCAUCCAGGUUAUUUUUUGACAUGUCAAGUUGAUUAGGUCACAUCAAAUCAAUACCUAUAUAGUUUUAAUUUUUUUCUACAAAAAACCACAUUAAUGACACCUAGAUAUUUUUUUAUAUCCAGAAAAAAUAUAAUCCGACAUGCAACGUAGCAUGAGCAAUUAUCUACUACUAUACUAUAUAAAUCCCCUUGGCAUUUCAAUGUAGUAGUGAACACUGAAAUGCUAGGGCAUUGUACACUUUGGUCCUAAAAAAUAAAAAGUUGUGAGAGUUGUUUUUUUUUUUUGAAGUUUUUAAUUGAGUUUUAUUUUUAAUUUCAUUCUUUAAAAUUAGGUUUACUAGGUAUUAGACUUUAUAAUUUAUUUCGAUUUACUUUCUAUAAAGUUAUCCUAGUCUCUUUACCUAAGUUUGACUGGUUUAUCCAGGUUGACUCAGGUCAUUGUUUUUGUCCUUUUUUUUAUUUGGUUUUAUUUUCAAUUUAAUAGGUUGAUUUGGAUUUGAGUUUUAUAAUUUGUUUUUUAUUUGCUUUAUAGAGGGUUAACACAAUCUUAUAACUUGGGUCGCAUGUUAAAUUAGUCGACUUGGUUUUUUUUUAAUUGAUUUUUUUUCAAUACCAUCCUUUAAUAUUAGGUUGAUUGAUAAUUAGACUUUGUAAUUUGUUUUAGUGUGUGUUUUAUGUGGUUUUCGUGCUUUCAUGACCUAGAUUACAAGUUUGUUUUAUUGACUUUGGUGAUUUUUUGUCUCUUUUUUAUUUUAUUUUUUAUUUUUAUUUUUUAAUAUUAGGUGAUUGUGAAUUAUGCUUUAUAAUAUUUUUUUAUGUGCUUUUUAUAAGAUUAUUUUGAUCUCACGAUCUAGGUUUGGAAGGUUAACCUAAGUUAGCUAGACUAAUUUUUUUAGUUGAACUUAGUUUUCAAUUUCAUUCUUUAAUAAUGAAGAGAAUUGGGUUUAAUAAUUUUUUUUAAUUUGAUUUCUAUAGGUUUAUCAGGGUAUCUUGACAUGGAUAACAGAUUUGACAGGUUAACUCGAGUUGAUCCAAGUCAAUCAAAUAUAUUGUCAUUUCAAUACUUAAAAAAGAUGUCGUCUUGAUUUUAUUUUAGUUAAACUACACUUUUCUCAUUCAUUCAAGUUGUUUUUUAACAUGCCAAGUCGACUACUUCACAUUAAGUCAAUGAUAUAUAGUUUUAAUUAUUUUUUAUCAAAAAACAUAUUAACAACACCUGAAUAUUUUUUAUGUCUAAAAAAAAUUUAAUCCAACCCGUAGCAUAGCACGAGCAAUUAUCUAGUGCUUGUAAUUACUAUUAUUAUACCAAACAGUAGAUGAUCAUUUAUUUUCCAUCCACCGCAACGCUAAUUUAUAAAAAAAAUCUUCACUAAUUAAGGAAUAAUUUCAUUAGAACUUGGGAUUUUUCCAUUUGAAUUAAAGUUGUCAAUUUUGUUCUGUCCCACCUGGAAUGGUUGGUAUAUCUUGUUCAAGUUCAAAAAAUAGAACCAAUUAGAACAAAAUCCAUCUGGUUUAAAAUCUCAGCUGGUUUUGAAAAUUCCAGUCGGAACUUUCCGGUUCCAUUUUGGUCGUAUCAUUCUAUUCCGGUCAAAUAGUGUUUUUUUUCCUUUUUUUAAAAAAAACAUUUUGCAGAAUGAAACCAGAAUGGAAAAAUGUAUGUCUUUUAUCUAAUUUAAUCUCUCAACACUAGGUUGAUUAAAUAUUGAACUUCAUAAUUUAUUAUGGUUUUUUUUUUAUGGUUAUCUUAGUCUUAUAAUUAUGUCACUAGUUUGACAAGUUAAUCUAGUUGAUCCAAGUUUUAUGUCUAUUUUUUUAUUUUAUUUAAUUAUGAAUUAUGCUUUGAUAUUUAUUUUGGUUUAUUUUCUAUGAAAUUAUUUCAGUCUCAUGACGUAGGUCACAAGUUUUGUGAAUUAACUUGAGUAGACUGAAGUUAUUUUAUAGUUUUAUGACUUAGAUUAAUCUAAUAUGUUGUCAUUUUAAUAUUACUUAUAAAAAAAGAUGUUUAAUAAUUAUCCAAGUUGUUUUUGAAUAAAUUAAAUUGAUCAUGUCAUAUCGAGUCAGUUCUUAUAUUUUUGCUUGUGUUUGAAAUUUGAAUAAUAUAUUUUUAAAUUAAUUUAAUUUUGGAUUUGAAUUGAAAUUAUAUAUAUAUAUAUUCUGGAACGGCAAACUAAUGAAAACAUACCAUUUUAAUGAAAAAAAUAGAACAUCAACGGAAUUGGCAACCUUAAUAUGAACGUAGGAUUUACAUGCUCUGACAAAAUCUCAUGGUUUGGUAUAUAAACGCAAAGGCAAAGAUGCCCAAAAAACGCAGAAACCAAAAUCCUCUCGACAAAGUCAAAAACUCAUAAGAAGCUGAAAAACCCACCUGCACUCCUCCCCCGAUGCCAAUGUGACAGAGCAAGCACGAACAAGAAGGAGAAGACAACCCACAAUUCUUCUCCAUCUUCUCUCUUCUAAUUCUCUCUUUUCUUCUUCUUCGAAAUUAAAAAGUGAGAGAGAGAAUGGAAGAUUGGUCCGUCCUUGUUAAAAGAAGAAAAGAAGGCAAGAUUUCUCCAACUCAGAUGCUUCAGCAUUUCCAUUUCGAACCUCUAUUCACAGGCAGGUCCACUCAGAGGUCCAAUUCCGGGUCACCGAUGAAUUGGAUCUGGUUCCUGAUGACUUCUUCUGCUCUUAUGUGGACUUUAACAAACUUGGAUCUUGUCUGAAACAGGACAAUGGUCAUGAGCCAGCUGCUGCUGGUGGCAAUGGGGUUCAAUGUGUGGAUGAGAAAGCAGCAAAUGUGAAGCUGAGGCAUAAGUAUAGCAAUUCAGUUGAUGGGUCUUCUUUAACGGAAUCUAUUGACUCAAAAAAAGCUAUGGCUCCUGAAAAACUCGCUGAGUUGUGGGCUCUUGAUCCUAACGAGCCAAAAGGUACUUUCCUUUUGCUUUAUGUACAUGUUUUGCCUUGAAUCAAUCAUUAAAUAAUUCUGUUUAUUUGCUUACCCCCACCCCCCACCUGCCCUUCGAAUUUUAUCUUAUCUAGUCGAAUCAGGGGGCUUGUAGUUUAUGGCUAACUUUCUUCCUUUCUUCUAGAGAAAGCAAUGCUCAUGUGGAGAGCAUAAAAUGUUGCAACCAAGAUGCAUAAUUUUUCUUUCUUGUUUUUUUUUUUAAUAAAAAAAUAAACCUUCCAAAUCGCUAACAUAAAGGGAGCAGUAUGGAAGGAGCUCAAAUCUCUUGAUAUCAAGGUGGGUUUGGUUGGGAUUGAGGUUUAGUUGAUGUAGCUUACUAAUUGAUGGAUUAUGUAGUUUUGGAAGUAUAUGAGAAUUCAGUGCAUGCAUGGGCCGCUCCAUGCAUUUAGGUGCUGUGAUUGCUAGACGUAUUUCGUCAAUGGAUUCUGAAACUUAUUACUGAUGGGGAUGUUGGUUUUGACAUUAUCAGGUCCUCGGGAAGCCUACAGUGGAUGAGUUUUUCUGAUUGAUAUCUUAAUGUCCAGUUCUGUCCUUUCCUCUCGCAUAAUCCCAUCUUUCUACUUAGCCAAUGAAGCUUGCCAAAUUUGUUCUGUCAUUUUUCAGCUGGCAUCUCUAAGGUUAAGCAUGUUUUUAAUUAUUUGUUUCUGUUGCAUCAAUGCUAUGCGAUGAAAAAUCAAUGCCAUACAUUUAAAUGCAGAUCAAAUACAUACUCUUCCAAAAGUUUGAAUAAGAACACUCCAGGGAGAUGCUUUACUACCUUAAUUUCUCAAGUUUUUUUUUUAACAUUUCUUAGGUUACUGCUUUUGCUGAAUAUGAACACUUUGACUUUACAACGAUGAGCUAGGAAACUAUCGAAAGCUUUUCAUGGUAUUUUAUUUUUAUUAAUUUAUCUCAAAUUAUCUAUUUUUUGAAGUAUAUUAUGUAGCCUGUCCAUGAUACUCUAAAGAGUGAUUCUUUAUUAAUCAUGGAAUUGCUUUUGAUUGAUCUGAUUUACAUGCAGAUGAAUAAAAAAGUAUAAAUUCUAUAAGUUUCCUCUGAACAGUUAUCUAGGAUUAUGGCCAAUAGGCAGUCUGCUGCUCGCUUGAAAGAGAGGAAAGCCCGACAUCAUAUGUAUCCGAACUUGAAAGAAAAGUGCAUACCAACUUACACCAUUCCAGGUUUGGCAAUGAUGCACAAAUAUUGUAUGCUUUGAAGGCUAUGAAUAAGAGUUUCUAAGUCUCUAAACUGCCAUUAAUUUUUGGUCUUGUGCUCUCAUUUCAGAGGGAUACAUCAAGUCUGACUACUGAGAACUCAGAGCUUAAGCGUCCAUUACAAGCUAUGGAACAACAGGCUGAAUUAAGUGACGGUAUGCUUUUACUUUGCUCUGCUUUAAUUGCCAAUCCCUUCUCUAUUGUUGGAAUAUGUAUCUUUCUUGGAAAGUUCUUAGUAGACAAUUUAGCAUUUUAUGCAGUGGGGGCUGUUAUGCUGUUCUGGUGUAACACAUGCCUCCAAAAAAUGGUGCUACGUGUAACUCCAAAGCAUACUUUUUCCCAAAUAAUUAUUUCAUUCAACUUGUCAUUGCCAAUUAUAAUGGUGUUUCUAGCAGGCAUUUCAUCAACUUGAUUCACUAUCUGUAAUGUUUGCUCUUUAGAUAUCACUAACAUACUAGAUGUACUUUCUAGCUUAGAUUUUAUGGUCUAUAUCCACCAAUAUUCAAUGAGAUGUAAAGUCAACCCACUUGCACCCUUUUUUUUUUUUGUCGGGUAUCAUUGUUCUCUGGUUAUUUUCUUUCAUUUGAGAUAUAGAACAGGAAGUUUCUUGACUGUGUUUUUGGUUGUAUGACUCUGAUAUAUAGCUCUGAAUGAAGCAUUUGAAGAAGGAAAUAGAGACUCAAGUUUGCUACUGGAGAAAUUAUGGCACCAACAGAUAGCUAUAAUUUGGGGAUGCAUCAUAUUCCAUAUAACCAUUCUCUCAUGCUUUCACCUAAGCCAUAUCCAAGGCCAGUUAAUGGUUUGGGGGUGUUUGAGAGUGUAAUAACAAUUACUUUUCAAAGUGUUUUUUACUUGUAAAAGCAUAAAAAUAUAUUUUUUAAAUAAAUUAUUUUUUAUAUUAUUAUAGUAAACGAUCAAAAAAUAUAAAAUAUAUAUAUAUUUUUUUUAAAUCAAUUUUUAUGAAAUGUUAUUUGAACCGUGUUAUCAAAUGACCCUUAAACAUUCAAACCCCACAGUUUCAUCAUCUCUGGUCUAACUUGUCUCCUCAUCAGCCAGAGAUUGCUGCUUCCCCUUCUCAUGCCUUGCCAGAGAUGUUGCUACAGGAUCCUCUCACAUAGUUGCAGGGGCUUGAUAUCAGCAGCAGAGCUAGAUCUGAAUGCCCCCCAAUUUCCGGUGAAGAACUUCAUUACAGAAUCUCUUGAGGGUUCAUCUAUGUUCAAUUUCAUAUAUCCAAAUAUUUUGAUGUCUUUAUAAGAGAAAAAGCUUUGAUUCGUAGUUUAUUCAAUUCAUAUCCAUACUCCUAAACACACUACAGGCUUUCAUGCUUCCAUAGCAUUUGUUGUUUUGGAUGAUGCCAAACCCUAAAUAUUUUGAUGUCCUCCUCGUUCCAUUUGCUCGCAGCUUGUAUAUUUGGCAGACUUACUAGUAGAAGAGGGAGGGGAGAGCUGUGAUUUGGAAAAAAGAAAACACAGACAAGCAAUGGGUGUGGUGUUGAUUGGUUGGCUACCCCUACGAUGAUUCCUUUGUAAUAAUUCCCUAGGGCAUUGCCCUCCUUUUGACCCAAAGAAGAAGAAAGAAGAAGAAGAAUUGUUUAUCUUAUACUAAUCGGUUUGGUCUUGACAUGAUAUAAUAUGUGUGUAAAUUUAUUUUCAUGUUUUUGCUUUAGCAUGCCAAUUGAUUUAUAUUUGUUUUCCUUGUAACUCAAAUUUAGUCUAGAAUUGUAAAUUCUAAUUAGAUGUUUUUUUUUAAUAUUGUAUUAAGGGUAAAUAAGUUGACUUUGAAUGUAAAUUUUGAUGUUAGUGUAUGUGUUCUUGGCAUUUUUACUUUUUUUUAAAGUACUUUCGUAUUUUUCUUGUUAUUCAAAAUCAGUCUAGAAAUUAAAAAUUCUUAUUAGUGUAGCAUAAGGCAAAGCUAGAAAAAUAAAAAAUAAAUAAAUUGUGCUAACAAAUUAUUUUUUUCAAUUCAAUUUUUGUUUUUCAUGUUUUCAAAAAAUAAAAUUAACACAUAAUUCAAUAAAGAUGUUAAAUAACUUGACCUGUCAUGACAUCAUAUAUAUUUUUUUAUCAACAACAUUUUUUUAAAAUCACAGUUGAAUAUUUAGUUAUUGUUAAUAUCCAUAACUCAUAUAUUGGUAGAUUAAUUUUAUCAAAAACACUGAAUAAGAUUCUAAUGUGUGUUCUACUUUUUUUUAUCAUCAACAAAAUAUAGCCCCAUUUUUUUUUAAUGAUUGAAUCAAUUUUGAAAGGUCCGCAACAAAACACAGACACCCAUAUUAGUUUAUUUUUUUAAAAUUUUAAAUGAAAGAAAGAAAGAAAAACUUAUUUUCUUAUCCUAGAUCACUCCAUCUUUUCUAUUUAUAUUUUUUUUUCUCUCAUAUAAUGCUUUAGUAGGAGUGGCCAAAGCAAUAAAAACUUGCAAAGGUCACUUGGUUCACAUGUAUAUGAUCGAGAGAUCGCAUCAAGCAACAAAAUCAAAGUCAAAAUGUAUUGUUUAUAAUAUUAAACCAAUAAAAAAUAAAAUUGGUUCUUUAAGUAUGAAAAGUAAAACAUUUGGUGCCAUGAUUUAUAGCCAUGAAUCAUAUAAAAACCUCAAGUAUGUAUAGUUUUUCUACCAUUUCCUUUUUUUUUUUUGGGAUCAUAUAUAUACUAACCUUAAUUUCAAUUUUGUUUGUCAAUGUGUUAUGAAAAUAAUUAUCUUUAAAAUAAAAUCAUAUUACCAAACAUUAAAUAAACCCAUACAAGUUCACAUAAAUAAAAAGAUUAUCCAAAUAAGCCCAAUAAAUUCUAUAUUAAAUCCAAUUUGCCCAACGAAACUAUCCCUAUCAAGGUUGUCAAUUCCGUUUCGGUAGGUAUUUUUUUUUUCAAUUGGAAUAGAAUGUUUCAGUUUCAAAGUGUUUUGACGUGUCAUUUCGGGGUUAUAUUGUUUAUAUAUAUAUAUAUAUAUAUAUAUAUAUAUAUAUAUAUAAAAUUCAAAUUCAAGAUAAAUUAAUUAUAAAUUAUGCAAUCAAAACACAAUGUCAAACAAAUAUAAUUUUAAAAUUUAAAAUAUUUCUAAAUAGUCAAGAUUAAAUAGAUCUUUAACUUAAAGUAAUUCAACUUAAACAAAAUAUUAUGAAAGUAAAAUGUUUUAACACAAAUAUUUUAAAUAUAAAGUUAGGUCAAUGUUAUCAAGGCUAAUGAAAUCUAAAGCAUCCCUUAUUUUGCUCAAAUUCUUACAAAGUAUAAACAUAAAAACAAUAACAUGAAUAUAAACCAUAUAUAUUAGUGAUAAAUCUAAUUUUAAAAAAUUAAUAUCAUUGUUAAUGAAAAUAGUAAUAAUAAUUUUCAAUAUUAUUAUUAAUAUCAUUGUUAUUGAAAAUAGUAAUAAAAAAUAGCUUUUUAUACUUGGGUGGUUUAAUUAAUUAAAUUGAAGAAGGUUCAAUUUAAUUCAAUGGCUUUUCAAGAGUGGAACGGAACAUGUGGAAUGAAACCAGAAUGUUCUGGCCGAAAAAUCCAGAACGGACCGAGAUUUAAAAUGAAAUGAAACUUAUUCCAUUUUGUUUUGUUUUUUGAAAUGGUAUGGAAUAUUUCGGUCAUUCCGGGCGAAACGAAAUUAACAACCUUGAUCCUUACUACUAGUAUAUAUGCAUACACAAACCCUUUCAUAAAUUUGAUUAUACUAAAAUACUUGAUGGUUCUAUGAUAGCCUUUCAAAUAGUAAAUCAUCACCUUCGACAAUAUGUUUCACAAUAAUAAUAAUUAUGAUGCUAUUAUUAUACUAAUGAUGAUAAUGUUAUCAAUAGUUGUUAUGAUAAUAAUAAUAAUAAUAAUAAUAAUAUAAGAGAGAAAGAAGAAGAAGAAGAAGAAGAGUAGUGAUAAUAAUAAUAAAAUAUUAAUAAUAGUUGUUGUAAUCAUAAUAAUAAUGACAAUAAUAAUAGCAGCAACAACAACAACAAUAACAACAAUAAUAGUGAUAAUAAUAAUAGUAGUAGUAGUAGUAAUAUUGAUAUUAUUUAUUAUAAAUAUUAGUGAUAAUGAUUUUGAUCAUUAUUUUUUGAAUUGUUAUUUUUUAAAAUUCUCUUGUAUGAUUAGAAUAUUUUUUUUAAUUUCCUUUCUUUAAUAUUUAAUUUAUUUAGAAUUAAACUUCGUAAUUUUUCUAGAUUAGAUGCUUCAAGUUCAAUGAUUCUGGUCACAGAUUUAAAAAAAUUAACAUAUUUUUUAAAAUAUAUAUAUAAUUCUUUUUAUUUUUAAUUAGGUUAUUCCAGUCAUAUAAUAUAAACUGCAAGUUUAACUAGACGUGACAUAUUAUCUUAGCCUUAAUUAAUGUUUUUACAUAUGUUUUAUAAACAAUUUAUAUAUAUAUAUAUAUAUUUUUUUUAUUAUUAUUUGAACAUUCAUUUUUAUUUUUAAAAAAAUAGGUCAACGGGAAGGUAAUUUUUUUGUUCAAGAAAACUAUGUCUUGGGAUAGACACAGUAUGGAAUUGGUGAAACUGAGUCUUGGAAUAGACACGAUAAGAGUUGGUAUAUAACAUUUUUCUGUAGUUGUUGACUAGAAUCUUUAUUCGAGACACUUUAUGGAUGUCUACUGUUGGUUUGCUGCUAAAAUUGCUUUUCUUCUUGCUGCCCUCCUACUUAUCUAUUCUCGUCGUCCUGUGCAUGUUGCGCUCAAGUUUCUACAUCAAGAUCAUGUAAGCUCUAAUUUUAUUUUUUUUAUUUCUCUUAUUAUUAUUUUUUUUGAAUAUUUUUAGUAAUUCAUCUAGUGAUCGACAACAAUCCCAGCUCUCUAUUGGGGGGCUGAAGUUUGUUGGGCUUGCUGAAUGAGGGCCCUUGACAAGGUUUCUUCAUACCAAUUUUUGUUAUCUGUAAUUUUAAUAUUUUUUAUGCUCAUUGGUUAUAUUUCAUGGGUAAAUGUUUCUUUUUUUUUUUUUUAAUGGUAAUUCGAGCAAACAAAAAGGCAAGAAUGAGGAGUCAUAUUUCUUGAAAAAACAAAAGAAGAGAGUUUUACCCUGUGUGCUUUUCUAUUGUGUUUUUUACCCUAGAUUCUUUAUUAUCCAUGUUAACAUCUCUUGGGCUUACUUUCUUUGAAAGCUGAAAGGUUCCAAGUUACUUUUUUUUUUUAUUUUUGGUAAUUCAGGGUGUCCGGGCCAAUUUAUACCCACCACGACUAAUCAUCGGACUUACUAAAUAUCCCGCAAGCCCAAUAUAUAGGUAAGACACCGUGGGAGUGACAAGCAUACAUGCUAAGACUUGAACCCAGGAUGCAGAGGCAAGAAAACCCUUGCCACCGCUGGGCUAUAAGCCUUGGUGUUUCCAAGUUACUUUUCUAUAAUUUUAAUAUUUUUUAUGCUCAUUGGUUAUAUUUCAUGGGUAAAUGUUUUUUUUUAAUGGUAAUUCGAGAAAACAAAAAGGCAAGAAUGAGGAGUCAUAUUUCUUGAAAAAACAAAAGAAGAGAGUUUUACCCUGUGUGCUUUUCUAUUGUGUUUUUUACUUGUUUUUGCAGAUUCUUUAUUAUCCAUGUUAACAUCUCUUGGGCUUACUUUCUUUGAAAGCUGAAAGGUUCCAAGUUACUUUUUUUUUUUUUUGGUAACCCGGGGUAUUCGGGUCAGUUUACGCACACCACGAUUAAUCUCCAGACCCACUAAAUAUCAUGCAAGCUUAGCAUGCAGGUAAGUCACCGUAAGGGUGACAGGCGUACACGUUAAGGCUUGAACCCAAGAUAUAGAGACAAGAAAACCCUUGCCACCGCUGGGCUAGAAGCCUUGAUGUUUCGAAGUUACUUUUCUUGGA
rnacentral:lncRNA from 1 species